rnacentral:rRNA from 1 species
AUUGAACGCUGGCGGCAGGCCUAACACAUGCAAGUCGAACGAGUGGCGGACGGGUGAGUAAUGUCUGGGAAACUGCCUGAUGGAGGGGGAUAACUACUGGAAACGGUAGCUAAUUCCGCAUACCAUCGGAUGUGCCCAGAUGGGAUUAGCUAGUAGGUGGGGUAAAGGCUCACCUAGGCGACGAUCCCUAGCUGGGCUGAGAGGAUGACCAGCCACACUGGAACUGAGACACGGUCCAGACUCCUACGGGAGGCAGCAGUGGGGAAUAUUGCACAAUGGGCGAAAGUCUGAUGCAGCAACGCCGCGUGUAUGAAGAAGGCCUUCGGGUUGUAAAGUACUGUUAUCAGAGAGGCGUUACCCGAAGAAGAAGCCACGGCUAACUCCGUGCCAGCAGCCGCGGUAAUUC